AAGGCGCUGCCCUACUCGUGCUUGCUAUACAGGGUUAGUUCGAGCCAACACCCCAAGAGAAGGGGCUCUCCCUGGUCGCCGGAGUGGCAGCUCCCCAUGGAGAAUCGCGAAGGCGGCCCACAGAGCUACCACCUGUCACUUGGGUUCGAACCAUCCGGGCACACGGUAACGGCGGCCCUUGC
rnacentral:other from 1 species